rnacentral:rRNA from 1 species
CAAUAGCGUAUAUUAAAGUUGUUGCGGUUAAAAAGCUCGUAGUUGGAUCUCGGCAGGCAGGGGGUGGUUCGCUCUUAGCGCUACUGCCCCAUUUGCCUGUGUGAUUGGCAGAGGUUUCGGGGUGCUCUUCGUUGAGUGACCCGGGGCGCCGUCAGGUUUACUUUGAAAAAAUUAGAGUGCUCAAAGCAGGCUUUUCACGCUUGAAUAUUCGUGCAUGGAAUAAUGGAAUAGGAACUCGUUUCUAUUUUGUUGGUUUUCGGAAAUCGAGUUAAUGAUUAAUAGGGACAAUUGGGGGCAUUAGUAUUCAGACGACAGAGGUGAAAUUCUUGGACCGUCUGAAGACUAACUACUGCGAAAGCACUUGCCAAGAGUGUUUUCAUUAA